GCUACCAUGCAGUCGUACGAGAAAGUCGGCUUCGGCUGAUGAGUAAAGUGGCGCAGGGGUGAGUAACGCGUGGAUAUCUGCCCUUUAGUUGGGAAUAACGUACCGAAUGGUGCGCUAAUACCGAAUAAUACUGAGUGACUACUGUCAUUUAGUCAGAGAAGGCCUCUGUUUACUAGCUUUUGCUGAAGGAUGAGUCCGCGUACCAUUAGCUAGUUGGUGGGGUAAUGGCCUACCAAGGCUUCGAUGGUAAGCUGGUCUGAGAGGAUGAUCAGCCACACUGGAACUGAGACACGGGCCAGACUCCUACGGGAGGCAGCAGUGAGGGAUUUUGCGCAAUGGGGGAAACCCUGACGCAGCAACGCCGCGUGAGUGAAGAAGGCCUUUGGGUCGUAAAGCUCUGUCAAGUGGGAAAAACGCCUUCCCGUUAAUAGCGGGUAGGUUUGAUGGUACCACUGGAGGAAGCACCGGCUAACUCCGUGCCAGCAGCCGCGGUAAUACGGAGGGUGCAAGCGUUGUUCGGAAUUACUGGGCGUAAAGAGCGUGUAGGCGGUAUGGUAAGUCAGAUGUGAAAGUCCUGGGCUCAACCCAGGAAGUGCUUUUGAAACUGCCAUGCUUGAGUAUGGGAGAGGAGAGUGGAAUUCCCGGUGUAGAGGUGAAAUUCGUAGAUAUCGGGAGGAACACCCGUGGCGAAGCGACUCUCUGGACCAAUACUGACGCUAGACGCGUAAGCGUGGGGAGCAAACAGGAUUAGAUACCCUGGUAGUCCACGCCGUAAACUAUGAGCACUAGGUGUAGCGGUAUUGACCCCUGCUGUGCCGUAGCUACGCAUUAAGUGCUCCGCCUGGGGAGUACGGCCGCAAGGCUAAACUCAAAGGAAUUGACGGAGGCCCGCACAAUCGUGGAGCAUGUGGAUUAAUUCGACGCAACGCGUAGACCUUACUGGGCUAUGACAUCUCCUGACACCCCUGGAACCGAAUUACCCUGCUGCAUGGACAGGUGACAGUGCUGCAUGCUGUCAGUCAGCUCGGUCGUGAGAUG
rnacentral:rRNA from 1 species